AUUGAACGCUGGCGGCAGGCCUAACACAUGCAAGUCGAGCGAGCGGCGGACGGGUGAGUAAUGUUUGGGAAACUGCCUGAUGGAGGGGGAUAACUACUGGAAACGGUAGCUAAUACCGCAUACCAUCAGAUGUGCCCAGAUGGGAUUAGCUAGUAGGUGGGGUAACGGCUCACCUAGGCGACGAUCCCUAUCUGGUCGGAGAGGAUGACCAGCCACACUGGAACUGAGACACGGUCCAGACUCCUACGGGAGGAAGCAGUGGGGAAUUUUGGACAAUGGGCGCAAGCCUGAUCCAGCCAUGCCGCGUGUCUGAAGAAGGCCUUCGGGUUGUAAAGUUCUUUCGGUAGCGAGGCGUUAACUACAGAAGAAGCACCGGCUAACUCCGUGCCAGCCGCCGCGGUAAUAC
rnacentral:rRNA from 1 species